UGGGUAUAUAUGGGCCUGUAUAUAGGAAGACAAGAUCCUGUGGGAAAUCAUCAAUUGAAAAGGGAUUCCUGAUUUUACCUAGUUAAUACAACCCAUGUAAAAUGUACCCAAGACCUCCAGCAGCAGAAAUGUUGGUAAUAGCUGGUGUCUAGCUUCACAUAUCUUAAUAAAUAUCCAAAACUAACAGACUGAAGAUAACUCGUGUGAUUUGUUCGAAUGCACAUUAAAUCCACAUAAGGUAAUAGAGUUACUGCCUACUGAACAAAAAUUGUAUAUCAAGUUAAAAUGCUUGAAAUAC